CAGAAAAUCGUCAGGUAAUAAAAUGUUAACCUUUUAUUUUUUUCAAUAAAGAUCGAGAAAGUGGUUUAUUUCUAUUAUUUAUGUGAGCAGCACUACUUUUACUGCGAAUUUGUGUGAUUUACGAAAAUCCAUUUCACUGGAAAAUGAAAACAGCUUGGUUCUCAUAGAAGAAGAAAAAUCACAUACAGUUUCAAUCCCAACAUAAAGCUGUACAUGACAAAGGCCAGAAAACGUUUGUAAAUUCCAUGUGUAUGACGAGAAAAUCUAAUGUUAAAAAUUAUUAUUCGAUUGUACAACGAUGUUUAUUUAUUUAAUGCCAAGAAAGGAAAUGUAAACACCAAUGUGUUCGAUGACAGCUGUGGUGGAAUACCUAUUGAAAAUAUUUAAAGACAAAUAGAAAGAAAAAAUGUUCUAAUGAAAGUGAAGUAAAAUCGUAUUACAGAUGCUCCUAAAUCAAUUGAUUUAUGUAAAUAGUACGUGUUUGAACUUUGAUUGAAGGAUGACUACAAAUCAAUAAUAUUUUCAACAAGGUUUUGAAUUAAAUGAAAAAAAAGAAUAUGAAUAAAAUAAACAUGUGUCAUUUGUGAUUCAACAUGCGUGUUAUAGUAAAGAUAAUAAUAUUUAAUUAUUAUGGAACUACAUUUUCGGAAGUAAAUCUAGAAGAUCACAAAUAAAUACAAUUUUAACACGUUUACACACGAAUAGUCACCUAACCUACACCCCCGCAAGGUUCUCGAAGCACGAUGAACGCAAUUUUCAGUACCUAACCUAAUUAAUUUGUGACGACACUUGUA